UGGGGAAUCUCACUCUUCGUGCAGCUGUGUGGUGAGUGUUCCCAACCCUGGCCACCCCCUGCUCUCUGCACCCCCACUUCCUACCACCACUCCUGAGCCUGUCCUCCCUCUGUGCCUUCCUCCGGCACCUGUUGCUUCUGGAUCCUAGGAGUCGAGGAGGCUCCCCACCCCUGUGGCUGAGAACUGGACUGUGGCAAGGGCUGGGUGUGUGUGUGUGAGUGUGUGCGAGUGUGCGUGCGUGAAUGAGAGGGAACACGUUUACUGGGUGUGACCAUGUUAUCACUCAAUAAAGUUGCCCUGUGCCAAAAAAAAAAAAAAAAAA
rnacentral:lncRNA from 1 species